GAUGGACGAUGGCGGCGUGCCUAAUACAUGCAAGUCGAGCGAACGGACGAGAAGCUUGCUUCUCUGAUGUUAGCGGCGGACGGGUGAGUAACACGUGGAUAACCUACCUAUAAGACUGGGAUAACUUCGGGAAACCGGAGCUAAUACCGGAUGAUAUUUUGAACCGCAUGGUUCAAAAGUGAAAGACGGUCUUGCUGUCACUUAUAGAUGGAUCCGCGCUGCAUUAGCUAGUUGGUAAGGUAACGGCUUACCAAGGCAACGAUGCAUAGCCGACCUGAGAGGGUGAUCGGCCACACUGGAACUGAGACACGGUCCAGACUCCUACGGGAGGCAGCAGUAGGGAAUCUUCCGCAAUGGGCGAAAGCCUGACGGAGCAACGCCGCGUGAGUGAUGAAGGUCUUCGGAUCGUAAAACUCUGUUAUUAGGGAAGAACAUAUGUGUAAGUAACUGUGCACAUCUUGACGGUACCUAAUCAGAAAGCCACGGCUAACUACGUG
rnacentral:rRNA from 1 species